rnacentral:rRNA from 1 species
AUUGAACGCUGGCGGCAGGCUUAACACAUGCAAGUCGAGCGAGCGGCGGCCGGGUGAGUAAUGUCUGGGAAACUGCCUGAUGGAGGGGGAUAACUACUGGAAACGGUAGCUAAUACCGCAUACCAUCAGAUGUGCCCAGAUGGGAGUAGCUAGUAGGUGGGGUAAUGGCUCACCUAGGCGACGAUCCCUAGCUGGUCUGAGAGGAUGACACGCCAAACGGGAACUGAGACACGGUCCAGACUCCUACGGGAGGCAGCAGUGGGGAAGAGUGCACAAUGGGCGCAAGCCUGAUGCAGCCAUGCCGCGUGUAUGAAGAAGGCCUGCGGGUUGUAAAGUACUUUCAGCGAGGAGGCGGUACUCGCAGAAGAAGCACCGGCUAACUCCGUGCCAGCCGCCGCGGUAAUAC